UUUUUAAACACAUAUACCCUUUGUGAUUAAAAAAUAUAUUUCUAAUUCAUUUAAGGGCAAAUCUCCAAAAUAGCAUCUUUCUAAGUUUAUAUCACAAAAAUAGCACUCAAAAACUAAAAUGACCAAAAUAGCACCUUUCUAAGUUUAUCAUUUGAAAAUUUUAAUUUUUUUAUUUUUCAAAAUUUAAAAUCUUAUCCCCAAAACCUCAUUUCUCAACUCUAAACCCUAAACCCUAAACUCUAAACCCUAAACCAUAAACUCUAAACCCUAAACCAUAAACCCUAAACUCUAAACCCUAAACCCUAAACCCUAAAAUCUAAACCCUAAACCCUAAACCCUAAACCCUAAAAUCUAAACCCUAAACCCUAAAAUCUAAACCCUAAACCUUAAACUCUAAACCCUAAACCCUAAACCCUAAAUCCUAAACUCCACCCUUUAACUCUAAACCCUAAGUUUGUGACUUUUGAUAAAACAUUAAGUGCUAUUUUUGUGACUUUUGACCUUGAAUACUAGUUUGGGAACAAAAACUUGAUUUAGUGCUAUUUUUAUCUUUUUCUCUUCAUUUAAAGGCAAAUCUCCAAAAUAACACAUUUCUAAGUUUAUAUCACAAAAAUAGCACUCAAAAACUAAAAUGACCAAAAUAGCACAUUUCUAAGUUUAUCCAUUGAAAAUUUUAAUUUUUUUAUUUUUCAAAAUUUGAAAUCUUAUCCCCAAAACCUCAUUUCUCAACUCUAAACCCUAAACCCUAAACUCUAAACCCUAAACCCUAAACCCUAAACCCUAAAACCUAAACCAUAAACUCUAAACCCUAAACCCUAAACUCUAAACCCUAAACUCUAAACCCUAAACCCUAAACCCUAAAUUCUAA
rnacentral:lncRNA from 1 species